UGGGGAAUUUUCCGCAAUGGGCGCAAGCCUGACGGAGCAACGCCGCGUGAGGGAGGAAUGUCUGUGGAUUGUAAACCUCUUUUCUCUGGGAAGAAGAUCUGACGGUACCAGAGGAAUCAGCAUCGGCUAACUCCGUGCCAGCAGCCGCGGUAAGACGGAGGAUGCAAGCGUUAUCCGGAAUUAUUGGGCGUAAAGCGUCCGUAGGCGGUUAAUUAAGUCAGUUGUUAAAGACUGCAGCUCAACUGUGGAGGAGCAACUGAAACUGAUUGACUAGAGUAUGGUAGGGGUAGAGGGAAUUCCUAGUGUAGCGGUGAAAUGCGUAGAUAUUAGGAAGAACACCAGUGGCGAAGGCGCUCUACUGGGCCAAGACUGACGCUGAUGGACGAAAGCUAGGGGAGCGAAAGGGAUUAGAUACCCCCGUAGUCC
rnacentral:rRNA from 1 species